rnacentral:misc_RNA from 1 species
UCCGGUUUGUCACCGGCAGUCCCAUUAGAGUGCUCAACUGAAUGUAGCAACUAAUGGCAAGGGUUGCGCUCGUUGCGGGACUUAACCCAACAUCUCACGACACGGGCUGACGACAGCCAUGCAGCACCUGUGUCCUGGUCCCCGAAGGGAAAACUGCAUCUCUGCAGCGGUCCAGGCAUGUCAAAAGGUGGUAAGGUUCUGCGCGUUGCUUCGAAUUAAGCAACAUGCUCCGCCGCUUGUGCGGGCCCCCGUCAAUUCCUUUGAGUUUUAGCCUUGCGGCCGUACUUCCCAGGCGGGGCACUUAAUGCGUUAGCUACGGCACGGAGCCCGUCGAUCGAGCCCCACACCUAGUGCCCAAAGUUUACGGCGUGGACUAC